rnacentral:rRNA from 1 species
GGGUUGUGAGGUUAAGCGACUAAGCGUACACGGUGGAUGCCCUGGCAGUCAGAGGCGAUGAAGGACGUGCUAAUCUGCGAUAAGCGUCGGUGAGGUGAUAUGAACCGUUAUAACCGGCGAUUUCCGAAUGGGGAAACCCAGUGUGUUUCGACACACUAUCAUUAACUGAAUCCAUAGGUUAAUGAGGCGAACCGGGGGAACUGAAACAUCUAAGUACCCCGAGGAAAAGAAAUCAACCGAGAUUCCCCCAGUAGCGGCGAGCGAACGGGGAGGAGCCCAGAGCCUGAAUCAGUGUGUGUGUUAGUGGAAGCGUCUGGAAAGGCGCGCGAUACAGGGUGACAGCCCCGUACACAAAAAUGCACAUACUGUGAGCUCGAUGAGUAGGGCGGGACACGUGGUAUCCUGUCUGAAUAUGGGGGGACCAUCCUCCAAGGCUAAAUACUCCUGACUGACCGAUAGUGAACCAGUACCGUGAGGGAAAGGCGAAAAGAACCCCGGCGAGGGGAGUGAAAAAGAACCUGAAACCGUGUACGUACAAGCAGUGGGAGCCUCUUAAUGGGGUGACUGCGUACCUUUUGUAUAAUGGGUCAGCGACUUAUAUUCUGUAGCAAGGUUAACCGAAUAGGGGAGCCGAAGGGAAACCGAGUCUUAACUGGGCGUUAAGUUGCAGGGUAUAGACCCGAAACCCGGUGAUCUAGCUAUGGGCAGGUUGAAGGUUGGGUAACACUAACUGGAGGACCGAACCGACUAAUGUUGAAAAAUUAGCGGAUGACUUGUGGCUGGGGGUGAAAGGCCAAUCAAACCGGGAGAUAGCUGGUUCUCCCCGAAAGCUAUUUAGGUAGCGCCUCGUGAAUUCAUCUCCGGGGGUAGAGCACUGUUUCGGCAAGGGGGUCAUCCCGACUUACCAACCCGAUGCAAACUGCGAAUACCGGAGAAUGUUAUCACGGGAGACACACGGCGGGUGCUAACGUCCGUCGUGAAGAGGGAAACAACCCAGACCGCCAGCUAAGGUCCCAAAGUCAUGGUUAAGUGGGAAACGAUGUGGGAAGGCCCAGACAGCCAGGAUGUUGGCUUAGAAGCAGCCAUCAUUUAAAGAAAGCGUAAUAGCUCACUGGUCGAGUCGGCCUGCGCGGAAGAUGUAACGGGGCUAAACCAUGCACCGAAGCUGCGGCAGCGACGCUUAUGCGUUGUUGGGUAGGGGAGCGUUCUGUAAGCCUGUGAAGGUGGCCUGUGAGGGUUGCUGGAGGUAUCAGAAGUGCGAAUGCUGACAUAAGUAACGAUAAAGCGGGUGAAAAGCCCGCUCGCCGGAAGACCAAGGGUUCCUGUCCAACGUUAAUCGGGGCAGGGUGAGUCGACCCCUAAGGCGAGGCCGAAAGGCGUAGUCGAUGGGAAACAGGUUAAUAUUCCUGUACUUGGUGUUACUGCGAAGGGGGGACGGAGAAGGCUAUGUUGGCCGGGCGACGGUUGUCCCGGUUUAAGCGUGUAGGCUGGUUUUCCAGGCAAAUCCGGAAAAUCAAGGCUGAGGCGUGAUGACGAGGCACUACGGUGCUGAAGCGACAAAUGCCCUGCUUCCAGGAAAAGCCUCUAAGCAUCAGGUAACAUUAAAUCGUACCCCAAACCGACACAGGUGGUCAGGUAGAGAAUACCAAGGCGCUUGAGAGAACUCGGGUGAAGGAACUAGGCAAAAUGGUGCCGUAACUUCGGGAGAAGGCACGCUGAUAUGUAGGUGAAGCGACUUGCUCGUGGAGCUGAAAUCAGUCGAAGAUACCAGCUGGCUGCAACUGUUUAUUAAAAACACAGCACUGUGCAAACACGAAAGUGGACGUAUACGGUGUGACGCCUGCCCGGUGCCGGAAGGUUAAUUGAUGGGGUUAGCGGUAACGCGAAGCUCUUGAUCGAAGCCCCGGUAAACGGCGGCCGUAACUAUAACGGUCCUAAGGUAGCGAAAUUCCUUGUCGGGUAAGUUCCGACCUGCACGAAUGGCGUAAUGAUGGCCAGGCUGUCUCCACCCGAGACUCAGUGAAAUUGAACUCGCUGUGAAGAUGCAGUGUACCCGCGGCAAGACGGAAAGACCCCGUGAACCUUUACUAUAGCUUGACACUGAACAUUGAGCCUUGAUGUGUAGGAUAGGUGGGAGGCUUUGAAGUGUGGACGCCAGUCUGCAUGGAGCCGACCUUGAAAUACCACCCUUUAAUGUUUGAUGUUCUAACGUGGGCCCCUUACCGGGGUUGCGGACAGUGUCUGGUGGGUAGUUUGACUGGGGCGGUCUCCUCCUAAAGAGUAACGGAGGAGCACGAAGGUUGGCUAAUCCUGGUCGGACAUCAGGAGGUUAGUGCAAUGGCAUAAGCCAGCUUGACUGCGAGCGUGACGGCGCGAGCAGGUGCGAAAGCAGGUCAUAGUGAUCCGGUGGUUCUGAAUGGAAGGGCCAUCGCUCAACGGAUAAAAGGUACUCCGGGGAUAACAGGCUGAUACCGCCCAAGAGUUCAUAUCGACGGCGGUGUUUGGCACCUCGAUGUCGGCUCAUCACAUCCUGGGGCUGAAGUAGGUCCCAAGGGUAUGGCUGUUCGCCAUUUAAAGUGGUACGCGAGCUGGGUUUAGAACGUCGUGAGACAGUUCGGUCCCUAUCUGCCGUGGGCGCUGGAGAACUGAGGGGGGCUGCUCCUAGUACGAGAGGACCGGAGUGGACGCAUCACUGGUGUUCGGGUUGUCAUGCCAAUGGCACUGCCCGGUAGCUAAAUGCGGAAGAGAUAAGUGCUGAAAGCAUCUAAGCACGAAACUUGCCCCGAGAUGAGUUCUCCCUGACUCCUUGAGAGUCCUGAAGGAACGUUGAAGACGACGACGUUGAUAGGCCGGGUGUGUAAGCGCAGCGAUGCGUUGAGCUAACCGGUACUAAUGAACCGUGAGGCUUAACCUUACAACGCCGAAGGUGUUU